GGGUGGCAUAUUCCGUUCAUUAUGGGAUACUAAACCGGAGGACCCUCCAGCUGAUAAGUCAAGUGUGGCUUCAAUCAUCAACCAGCUUGAUCAUGCCAUCAAACAAGGAAUGACCCUACCAGAUUCAUCCAAGGAAAAGGCAAAGGUAACAGCUGAAGAUGAAGAUGAAGACAUGAUCGAUGAUUUCGACGACAGUGAUGGAGAAGACCUCAAUAUAAUUUGCAUAGUGUCUAUUUUACCAGCAGACUUUGACAGGAU
rnacentral:lncRNA from 1 species